AGGUCUCCUAAGCUUGACUCCUCUUCGGCAUGAGACUAAGGAAGCUCCCCAAGUUCCAGUCAGAGCAGGCUUAUGGAAGAGUCUUGCCCUAACAGAAAAACAGGGAUGAGGCUGGGAAGAGGAUAAAGUUAUAGCAGGAUAAAGUUAUAAGAAGAUAACAAAGCAGGAUGACAUCACAUGGGACCAAGAAGGGGGCUGCAUCAUCCCUGGACCUGCUCCUGGGGGCUGUCGGAUUGUGGGCGUGGCCGCUUUGGAUGCCCAGGUGAGCCCUGACACAGAGGUGCUUCCUCACAUUACAGUGAGGAGAGGAUGGGGCCAGUACAAAGACUGAAGAACCAGCACUCCUCCUGGGUCCGUCUUUGCUAAGUUGAGUCAUCCCAGCCCAGGCUCAGAUG
rnacentral:lncRNA from 1 species